AGAGUUUGAUUAUGGCUCAGAAUGAACGCUGGCGGCGUGCUUAACACAUGCAAGUCGUACGAGAACUCUUUAGCUUGCUAAAGAUAGUAAAGUGGCGCACGGGUGAGUAACGCGUGGGUAAUCUACCUUCGAAUCGGGGAUAACAUUGCGAAAGCGAUGCUAAUACCGGAUAAUAUCUCAAAAUCGUCAGGUUUUGAGAUCAAAAAUGGCCUCUACAUGUAAGCUGUUGUUUGGAGAUGAGCCCGCGUACCAUUAGCUUGUUGGUAGGGUAAUGGCCUACCAAGGCAACGAUGGUUAGCUGGUCUGAGAGGAUGAUCAGCCACACUGGAACUGACACACGGUCCAGACUCCUACGGGAGGCAGCAGUGAGGAAUUUUGCGCAAUGGGGGAAACCCUGACGCAGCAACGCCGCGUGAGUGAUGAAGGCCCUCGGGUCGUAAAGCUCUGUCAAGUGGGAAGAAAAUGUAAAAUGUUAAUACCAUUUUUCACUGACGGUACCACUGAAGGAAGCACCGGCUAACUCCGUGCCAGCAGCCGCGGUAAUACGGAGGGUGCAAGCGUUGUUCGGAAUUAUUGGGCGUAAAGGGCGCGUAGGCGGUCUUUUAAGUCAGAUGUGAAAGCCCGGGGCUCAACCCCGGAAGUGCAUUUGAAACUAAGGGACUUGAGUAUGGGAGAGGGAAGUGGAAUUCCUGGUGUAGAGGUGAAAUUCGUAGAUAUCAGGAGGAACACCCGUGGCGAANGCGACUCUCUGGACCAAUACUGACGCUGAGACGCGAAAGCGUGGGGAGCAAACAGGAUUAGAUACCCUGGUAGUCCACGCUGUAAACGAUGAGAACUAGGUGUAGCGGGUAUUGACCCCUGCUGUGCCGAAGUUAACGCAUUAAGUUCUCCGCCUGGGGAGUACGGCCGCAAGGCUAAAACUCAAAGGAAUUGANGGGGCCCGCACAAGCGGUGGAGCAUGUGGUUUA
rnacentral:rRNA from 1 species